CAAAGUUAACAUUGCAGUCUUGAGGCUUAGGUCAUUGUCUCACAUACAGUGGGGGCUGUGACCCCCACGGUGGGAUGGUGAGCUAAGACUUUGGAGUCGAAACUUUGAGAAAGGAAUGGCUGCCCUGGAGGUUGGACUACUCUCUGACACCUGUGAGAACCCUUUAAAUCCUCGGUUCUUAAUCUAUUGACAGGAGAAAGCUAAUCGGCUGCUCUCUUGAGGUCUGAUUGUUGCAGAAGAAAAGCUCAUGAAAAGCUGCAACUAUGUUCGUCGCACUCGUCAGAAUCAGAAGAUUGUAGGUUCAAGUCCUAAUCCACGACCGAAACACAAACAUCACAAAUUUACACUGAUGGAGGCACCAUCUUUUGAAUGAGGUAUUAAAACUGAAGCCCUGUCUGCUCUCUCAGGUGAACGUAAGUAUCCUGCAGCAAUAUUCAAAGAACAGCAGGAGUUUAUCCUUGAUGUCGUGGCAAAUAUUCAUCACUCAUUCAACAUAACAAAACAAGUUAUCUGCUCAUCAAACAACUGUUAGUGGGAAUCUGCUGUCUGGAAAUCGGUUACCACACAUCCUAUAUUGCACCAGUGACUAUACGUCAAAGGAUUUAACUGGCUAUUAAACACUUCGGGAUUUCCUGUGAUUUUGAAGUAACAUCCCAUAAAGACCCACUUUGGCAAAAAUUAAAUUCAGCAAAACAGCUGUGAAUCUCAUGCGCUCUCUCCAGUCCAGAAGAAACAAUCUGCCCCUUUUGAUUUUUAAGAGGAAGCUUCACUGCCUAAGACUUCAAUCCAGCAGAGAACUGAAGCUAUCAAGCUCAGCAGCAGCAGCAGAAACCUUCUCACUAGCCGAAAGCAAAACUGAAAACCUUCCUGGCUCUGUAUGAACCCUGACCCCAUCCACACAUGCUUCUUUUGUCUAAUUUUUUAAAAAAUACCCAGGGCUAAUUACACAGUUUACCAACUGCCUGUCUGAAGGAGACAUGUUUUCACCACUGUGGUAACAUCUCUCUGUAAGAGAAACAGGACAGAACACAUCUCUUUUAAAAGCACCGUAAUGUCACAGCACAUGACACCUUAAUCAGAAGGUAACAGCUCAGAAUGUACACAAUUAAGUGGAGGGACGGAUUUUUUAAAACUGCCUGCUAACUUCUAGGAAAAGUUCUGCUACAUGAUAGACAAAAAAGAACCAGGUUCUGAAAUUACUUCAAAAUUUACAGAUUUAUUUUUGGCAAAAAUAAAUCUCGAGAAAGACAGGAUUCUUUAUAAUCAUUACUGAAGUUUUGUCAGCAUUCCAAAUUUGUGGCUAAUUACUCUGAUAUCAGAUAAAAAGACUUGCAAAUAUUUUUAAAAAUUAGCAAUCACAAAGGAAAAAUACAUUAUUGGAAUGAGCAUAAAUGUAAUUCUUAGAAUCAAAGAAAUAUAGUACAUUAUAUUAGAAGCCAUUCAAAUCAGUAUGUCUUCCUUGACUAUUGCUGAUAUGCUUGCUACCAGAGAUAAAGGUCAGUCCUCAUGCAGAAUUAGACAUAAAGCUAAUGAUUCGGUACUGAAAUUGAUAGCACAAAGAUAAAUUGAACAUGCAUACUCAUUGUCUUUCAAGCCUUGCCUAUGUCUUUAACUCACUAAAUAUUCAUAAAAUUUUACAGUACAUAAGGAUGCCAUUUGACUAGAGUCUACUAGCUCCCAAAAGAUCUACCCAACUAAUCCCAUUCCCCAGCCCUUUCUCCAUAGCCCUGUAAAUUUAGCACAUUCAAAUAUAUCUAAGUUCUUUUGAAAGUUCCUAUGGAACUGCCUACACCACUCUCCAAGGCAAUGCAUUCCAAAUCUUAAUAACUCUGAAUAAAGAGGUUUCUCCUCAUCUCACUCCCAGCUUUCCUGUUGACAUUCUUGAAAUUGUGACCUUAUAAUCUGUAUUUACACUUCAAUAAAAACAAAUCACUACAUUGUGGCACAGCCAAAUUAAAGAAUAAUAAGGAAAAUUACCUUUUGC